GGGUAGAGAAUAAAUAAUGCUGGCCCAAUAGAAAUACUUCUAAUUUGAGCCCAUAAUAAUUCUGGCCCAUAGUAUUUCUACGUCCACUGUCCAGCUACUCUAUAUACCUUGUUGCAGAAGCCAUACGACACAGAGCAUUGGCAUUGCCUUCUGUUUCAUCUCUAUCUAGUGUUAUCUAAUUGGUUAUGUUUGACAAUCUAGGGGCAGAAACGUACUUGUCGAACUCUUGCGGCUAUGAU